AUUGGUGGGGAUGAGUCCCGAGUUGGGAUGGAUCCCACGCGUGCUGCAGGUGGAGGCAGAAGCAGUUUGCAGGCGCUGCCGGCAGAUGGAGCGGGAGCGGUGCCCGCAGAACGGCCCCGUACUGCCCUCCCAUCCCACGCAAUGGGGCUGCCCGCGGGCCCCGCAGCUUCCCCGUAGACUGACCCCAGCCUGCCGCAGCCCUUCAGGCACAAGAGAUUAAAAUAGCCCCCCAAAAGAAUAAUAAACAACUGGGAAACUGCCCUCGGAGGAACCCCCGGGGGGCAUCGCGUGGGCCAGAAGCAGCUCUUGGCUCGGCACGGCCCUUGGGAAUGGCGUGGGAUUGGGACCUGCAAAAGCAGGUCAAGAGGCAAAAAAACACGGACACAAACUGCUCCUGCACUUGACUUUCUCAAGGCUCCUUAGGAAAGGGAGUGUGUUCUCAUCUGUUUAUGACGAGCUGUUUUACAGUGUUUUUAUUGCGCGGGAAAGGAUUUAUUAUGGGGAAAGGAUGCGAGGUGGUGUGUGUUAAUGUGAUUCGGUGUGAGGUCCUAUGCAAAGUGUGGAGCACAGCGGAGGAGUGGGAAGAGAAACAAGAAAAAUGCAAUGGGCCGGAGUGAGGAGAACUGAUUUUAUCUGAGUGAUGAAUUCUGCUGGCUGCAUCUCGUGGAAGGAAAAUGGGUUGGGAUUGCAUUCCUGCAAUCAUCCACACUGACCAAGCAGCAGGGAAAUACCCUGCUGCGUUGAGCAGGCACAAACCUGACCAGCAUAUGUGGGGAUGUUUGGCACCAGUGCUUCAAAGGAAAAUGGUGAGGAAGAACGAAGGAAAUAUUGUCCUUUUUCAUGAGCUGGUUGUUUUGUCUAUUUGCUGUACGAACUCCCAGGGAUCUGAGCUCUCUGCUCCAUGCUGCUGAGCUGGGAGCAGCGUUGCCAACCAGCAGUUUUGCUCCGAAGGCCGCACGGUAGUUGUGUCUGACUCUGACACGUUGGCUCUUGGAUGCCACAAACCACCUCCAUUUUUGCUGGAGAUAAUGGGAGAAAACAAGACAGAUGAGCAGCAAAGGAGGUGAGAGGACUUGGCUCCCCCCCAACCCCGAGAAAUUUCUAUUUAUAUCUCAGGGUUUCCCAACAGCAGCCUCUGCUGUGGUUAUGGGGUGGUUUUCUCUGGCAGCAGUCACAUGGAGAUGUGUGCUCCCACUGCUCAGCGGGGUUUGGUCUGAUGAUGGGGAGCUCAGUCCUGGUGAGCAGGGAGAAGAGGGAAUGCUGUCUGGAAGGGCACACAAAGCCUUCUCAACAACUUCGAAGCAAACUCCUAUGGAAAUCCCUCUCUUUGGCCAAAGGUGACACACAGACACCAGUUCCCAUCAAUGCAGUCGGCAAGACCACGUUGGGAUGGACCAAUGGAUGACCAAGGGUUGGACAAGCUCAACCACCAAGAGAUGGACAAGCACGCUACACCCAGCUCAUUAAGAUGCCCAAGGUUGCUUUUGUACCUGAUCAGGAUGGACGCUCAGUGCUCCAAUGCAACUCAUAACACCAUCACCUCGAAAUGGACGUAGCCUGAGGAGGCAUCUCCACCUCCUGCAUGGCCAUUCCCUCUCAGUAUUCCCUGCAGUGCUGUAGUUUGGCUCAACCACCAAGCAGGUGUGCUUCUCUCUGCCCUCCACAGACCCAAAUUUUCAUGUCCUUUCAUUUCCCUCCCUGUAAUAAUCCUCAUCUGUCUGCCCCUGAAUCUGUGAAGUUUGAUGUAAAUCAAUGACCAUAAAGAACUGCAUAUUUGCUGUAUUGGCAAGCUGAGUUAAGUCCCGUUGUUUUUCUGCCACAAGUUUUUCUAGGGCCCAAGGCAAUCAAAAAACACAAAUUCAAAGAUUUUAGGCAUUUUUUCUGCUAGCAUGGUAAGAGCUAGAAUGUGCUGCUGUAUCAGGGU